AGAGUUUGAUCCUGGCUCAGGACGAACGCUGGCGGCGUGCUUAACACAUGCAAGUCGAACGGUGAACCAGGGCUUGCCCUGGGAAUCAGUGGCGAACGGGUGAGUAACACGUGGGCAACCUGCCCCAGACUCUGGGAUAACUCCGGGAAACCGGGGCUAAUACCGGAUAUGACCCUUGAAGGCAUCUUCGAAGGUGGAAAGUUUUUCGGUCUGGGAUGGGCCCGCGGCCUAUCAGCUUGUUGGUGGGGUAAUGGCCCACCAAGGCGACGACGGGUAGCCGGCCUGAGAGGGCGACCGGCCACACUGGGACUGAGACACGGCCCAGACUCCUACGGGAGGCAGCAGUGGGGAAUAUUGCGCAAUGGGCGAAAGCCUGACGCAGCGACGCCGCGUGAGGGAUGAAGGCCUUCGGGUUGUAAACCUCUUUCAGCAGGGACGAAGCGAAAGUGACUGUACCUGCAGAAGAAGCACCGGCUAACUACGUGCCAGCAGCCGCGGUAAUACGUAGGGUGCAAGCGUUGUCCGGAAUUAUUGGGCGUAAAGAGCUCGUAGGCGGUUUGUCGCGUCGGAUGUGAAAACUUGGGGCUCAACCCCAAGCCUGCAUUCGAUACGGGCAAACUAGAGUUCGGUAGGGGAGACUGGAAUUCCUGGUGUAGCGGUGAAAUGCGCAGAUAUUNGGAGGAACACCGGUGGCGAAGGCGCCACUCUGGAUCGAUACUGACGCUG
rnacentral:rRNA from 1 species